rnacentral:rRNA from 1 species
AGUAACACGUGACUAACCUACCUUGAGUGGGGGAUAACCUAGGGAAACCUGGGCUAAUACCGCAAUUUUAAUACCUUCGGGUCAAAGGGAGCAAUUCGCUUAAGGAGGGGGUCGCGGCCGAUUAGUUAGUUGGCGGGGUAAUGGCCCACCAAGACUGUGAUCGGUAUCCGGCCUGAGAGGGCGCACGGACACACUGGAACUGAAACACGGUCCAGACUCCUACGGGAGGCAGCAGUGGGGAAUUUUGCGCAAUGGGGGAAACCCUGACGCAGCAACGCCGCGUGGAGGAUGAAGUCCCUUGGGACGUAAACUCCUUUCGAUCGGGACGAUUAUGACGGUACCGGAAGAAGAAGCCCCGGCUAACUUCGUGCCAGCAGCCGCGGUAAUACGAGGGGGGCGAGCGUUGUUCGGAAUUAUUGGGCGUAAAGGGUGCGUAGGCGGUUUGGUAAGUCUCGUGUGAAAUCUUCGGGCUCAACUCGAAGUCUGCACGAGAAACUGCCGGGCUUGAGUAUGGGAGAG